AUUGAACGCUGGCGGCAUGCCUUACACAUGCAAGUCGAACGGUAACGGGCCUUCGGGUGCCGACGAGUGGCGAACGGGUGAGUAAUGCAUCGGAACGUACCUUUCAGUGGGGGAUAACGUAGCGAAAGUUACGCUAAUACCGCAUAUUCUGUGCGCAGGAAAGCAGGGGAUCGCAAGACCUUGCGCUGAUUGAGCGGCCGAUGUCAGAUUAGCUAGUUGGUGAGGUAAAGGCUCACCAAGGCGACGAUCUGUAGCGGGUCUGAGAGGAUGAUCCGCCACACUGGAACUGAGACACAGUCCAGACUACUACGGGAGGCAUCAGUGGGGAAUUUUGGACAAUGGGCGCAAGGCUGAUCCAGCAAUGCCGCGUGCAGGAUGAAGGCCUUCUGGGUGUAAACUGCUUUUGUACGUAACGAAAAGCCAUGGGUUAAUACCCUGGGGUCAUGACGGUACCGUAAGAAUAAGCACCGGCUAACUACGUGCCAGCCGCCGCCGUAA
rnacentral:rRNA from 1 species